rnacentral:rRNA from 1 species
CGAAGCAACGCGAAGAACCUUACCAGGUCUUGACAUCCCGAUGCUAUUUCUAGAGAUAGAAAGUUACUUCGGUACAUCGGUGACAGGUGGUGCAUGGUUGUCGUCAGCUCGUGUCGUGAGAUGUUGGGUUAAGUCCCGCAACGAGCGCAACCCUUGUCUUUAGUUACCAUCAUUAAGUUGGGGACUCUAGAGAGACUGCCGGUGAUAAACCGGAGGAAGUGGGGAUGACGUCAAAUCAUCAUGCCCCUUAUGGCCUGGGCUACAAACGUAAUACAAUGGCGUAUACAAAGGGAUGCGAAAGGGCGACCUGGAGCAAAACUCACAAAGUACGCCUCAGUUCAGAUUGGAGUCUGCAACUCGACUCCAUGAAGGCGGAAUCGCUAGUAAUCGCGGAUCAGCAUGCCGCGGUGAAUACGUUCUCGGGGUUU